ACCAGACUCCUACGGGAGGCAGCAGUGGGGAAUAUUGCACAAUGGGGGAAACCCUGAUGCAGCGACGCCGCGUGAGCGAGGAAGUAUUUCGGUAUGUAAAGCUCUGUCAGCAGGGAAGAAGAAUGACGGUACCUGAAGAAGAAGCACCGGCUAAAUACGUGCCAGCAGCCGCGGUAAUACGUAUGGUGCAAGCGUUAUCCGGAUUUAUUGGGUUUAAAGGGUGCGUAGGCGGAAUGCCAAGUCAGCGGUAAAAUCGGGGGGCUCAACCUCGCUCCGCCGUUGAAACUGGCGUUCUUGAGUGGGCGAGAAGUAUGCGGAAUGCGUGGUGUAGCGGUGAAAUGCAUAGAUAUCACGCAGAACUCCGAUUGCGAAGGCAGCAUACCGGCGCCCAACUGACGCUGAAGCACGAAAGCGUGGGUAUCGAACAGGAUUAGAUACCCGAGUA
rnacentral:rRNA from 1 species